rnacentral:rRNA from 1 species
GCAUCAUACUGACACUGAGGCUCGAAAGCGUGGGUAGCAAACAGGAUUAGAUACCCUGGUAGUCCACGCCGUAAACGAUGUCUACUAGUCGUUGGGUCCCUUGAGGACUUAGUGACGCAGCUAACGCAAUAAGUAGACCGCCUGGGGAGUACGGCCGCAAGGUUAAAACUCAAAUGAAUUGACGGGGGCCCGCACAAGCGGUGGAGCAUGUGGUUUAAUUCGAUGCAACGCGAAGAACCUUACCUGGUCUUGACAUAUCUAGAAUCCUGCAGAGAUGCGGGAGUGCCUUCGGGAAUUAGAAUACAGGUGCUGCAUGGCUGUCGUCAGCUCGUGUCGUGAGAUGUUGGGUUAAGUCCCGCAACGAGCGCAACCCUUGUCCUUAGUUACCAGCGGGUUAAGCCGGGAACUCUAAGGAUACUGCCAGUGACAAACUGGAGGAAGGCGGGGACGACGUCAAGUCAUCAUGGCCCUUACGACCAGGGCUACACACGUGCUACAAUGGUAGGUACAGAGGGCAGCUACACAGCGAUGUGAUGCGAAUCUCAAAAAGCCUAUCGUAGUCCAGAUUGGAGUCUGCAACUCGACUCCA